rnacentral:rRNA from 1 species
UACGUAGGGGGCUAGCGUUGUCCGGAAUCAUUGGGCGUAAAGCGCGCGUAGGCGGUCAGGUAAGUCCGGUGUGAAAGUCAAAGGCUCAACCUUUGAAUGCCGCUGGAUACUGCCUGACUUGAGUCCGGAAGGGGCGAGUGGAAUUCCUGGUGUAGCGGUGAAAUGCGCAGAUAUCAGGAGGAACACCGGUGGCGAAGGCGCCUAUCUGGCCCGAUACUGACGCUGAGGCGCGAAAGCUAGGGGAGCAAACGGG